rnacentral:rRNA from 1 species
UUCUGGCUCAGGAUGAACGCUAGCGACAGGCUUAACACAUGCAAGUCGAGGGGCAGCAUAAAGUAGCAAUACUUGGUGGCGACCGGCGCACGGGUGAGUAACGCGUAUGCAACCUACCUAUCAGAGGGGAAUAACCCGGCGAAAGUCGGACUAAUACCGCAUAAAACAGGGACACCGCAUGGUGAUAUUUGUUAAAGAAAUUCGCUGAUAGAUGGGCAUGCGUUCCAUUAGGUAGUUGGUGAGGUAACGGCUCACCAAGCCGACGAUGGAUAGGGGAACUGAGAGGUUGGUCCCCCACACUGGUACUGAGACACGGACCAGACUCCUACGGGAGGCAGCAGUGAGGAAUAUUGGUCAAUGGGCGAGAGCCUGAACCAGCCAAGUCGCGUGAAAGGAAGAAGGAUCUAUGGUUCGUAAACUUCUUUUGCAGGGGAAUAAAGUGCAGGACGUGUCCUGUUUUGUAUGUACCCUGAGAAUAAGGAUCGGCUAACUCCGUGCCAGCCGCUGC